rnacentral:lncRNA from 1 species
GCCGCCGGCCUCUUAAAGGAGCCCGCUGCUGCCAUCCGGCGCGCUCCAGGCUCGUACCUGGCCCGCCUGGGCCCCGCGCCUCCCUGCUGGCGGUGUCCUAUGGAGGUCCCACCUCAGGCCUCAGGCUGAUUCCACAGGAACCCCCUAUGACCCGUCUUAUAGACUCCUUUCUACAUCGGAGAGAGCAGCCCCUCAGUUGGGAUCCCUAGCGCUCUGGCAUUGCUCCCCCUAUCAUACCGAUCUUGCCAGCUCUCCUUCCCUUGAUUGUCACCACUCACUCCAAUUUCACCCACUUGGAAUUCACUCGGCUCUAGGCCCCAUCCUCCUCCAGUGUUCCUGGAUGACCCCUCAUUAUCAUUUCAAGAUUCCUCUGGACCUCCAACCCCGGCUCAGAGUCACAAGAUUUCCCUCAGCCCAGUGGUUGUGCAACUUUGGGGGAGGAGGCAAUGGGGCUCUAGGACUAAACAAUGCGCGUCUGCUCAACACCCAGAUCAGUUGAUUAAUCUUAGGCGGCCAAAAUUCACUUUUGCUCUCUUCAGCUGAGAGACCCAAGACUCAUGGAAGAGGGAACAAGACCACCAGGUGCCUAGUCCUUCUAAUCCUGUCGUCCCACAUUACAGCCUGAUUAUCAGGCCCCAGAGGUUUCCUCGCCAGUUAAAGAGAGGUUCACUAGAGCGGUUCUAAAAAGGUUUCACAAAAGAAGCAACACCUGAAGGGAGGUGAAGGACGACCUAGGAAAAGGAAGCAAGUUCUGUGUCACGGAGGCCCAAGGGCAAGGGGCUUAGGCUGUGGGUUGAGGGGACUGUCUGAGACGGACUUAAACCUGCACCAGCUCCAGAGCCCUGCGGAAACAGAGAUCGGUCCCCUCCGGCGUCUAGUCGAAGUAACCAAUCUCAGUGCACCUAGGGGAAGUAAUCGCAAUGGGAGUAACCAAUGACGCCAUGAAGCUUCUCGUGCGUGCUUGACCCUGCCUCUCCAGCUGCGACAAAGAUGGCGCGCGGGCUCUUGGGUUCUGUAGUUUUCUCGCGAUCCAAAAGGCUCCGUGCCCAAGUGAGUCCUUACCGCCUCCCUACCCAGCGGCUUCCCCUCCGCUAGUACGCAUGUCCACAGCCUCACGGACCGGGAGAGAGGGGGCGCAGAAGGAAGGAGGCGGGACGGUAUUACAAACAAAAAAAUACGGCCUUCUCGAGAAGCGACGGCGGAGGGCCCGCUCCUCCCAGAAGGCGGUGCAGCCUGCCCGGGCGAGCCACGCACGCAGAGGGUUGUGGGGCGGAUAGCUCCUCUCCAGAUGGAGGCUCAUGAAGUAGGGUGGGCGGGGGACUCCAUAUCCCAGCGUGCCCCGCGGC